AUAGCUAAACUUUCUAGGCACGUUUUCACCGUUUAGGAAAUACCGAGCUGGAACGUUCUGUGUAUGUUGCCUGACUUUACGUGAAAAAGAGGGAAUUACAAUUGUGUUGAACAUUUUUUCACUCAGAAGGAGGAAUGCAUUUUAUGCUACAGCUGAAGAAUGAGGACACUGGGAG
rnacentral:lncRNA from 1 species